ensembl:lncRNA
UUGUGGUGUGUUUGGAGGGACGUCGGGAUGCUAGUGUCUUGGUGUGUUUGGAGGGACGUUGGGAUGCUAGUGUCUUGGUGUGUUUGGAGGGACGUCGGGAUGCCUAGUGUCUUGGUGUGUUUGGAGGGACGUCGGGAUGCUAGUGUCUUGGUGUGUUUGGAGGGACGUCGGGAUGCUAGUGUCUUGGUGUGUUUUUGGAGGGACGUCGGGAUGCUAGUGUCUUGGUGUGUUUUUUGGAGGGACGUCGGGAUGCUAGUGUCUUGGUGUGUUUUUUGGAGGGACGUCGGGAUGCUAGUGUCUUGGUGUGUUUUUUGGAGGGACGUCGGGAUGCUAGUGUCUUGGUGUGUUUUUUGGAGGGACGUCGGGAUGCUAGUGUCUUUGUUGCGACUCUUCUCUUGGUUUGUUUUUGUCCCAACCUCUUUGGAUACAGCUGUGAUUCACUCAUUCAUCAGACUUGGCUAGCUUUAAUGAUGUCAUGACCUAGAUUUUUCUGGGACAUAUUUCGGUGCAAUGGAGUGUAAUUUCAGGCGUUUUAAGAAGUAAAAAUUGUUUAAAAAAAUAAAUAAAAAAUGGUCUGUUUUUGAGAGUGAUGUCUCAUUUUGAUAAACUUGUCACUAGAUCCCCCCCCCUCACUGCCAUAUAUUUUUCUUAGUUUAUUUUAACAGGGGUUUUUAUCUUAGUCUUGAUCUUUUUCUUUCUGGCAUUGAGUGUGGUUGGUCCUUGAUAUUUUGGUGUUUGUUGAAGGACAGAGUAAAGUGUCUGAGAUUGCCAUUUGAAAAUGUGGUUUUGCAGUGAUGAGGAACUGAGAGACAUACUAGUGUGUGUGUUCUAGUGUUGGUUCUAGAAUGUUUUCUCGUGUUGGUUCUAGAAUGUGCUGUAGUGUCGGUUCAAGAAUGUGCUCUAGAAUAGGUUCUAGUGUCGGUUCUAGAAUGUGCUCUAGAAUAGGUUCUAGAAUGUGCUCUGGUGUCGGUUCUAGAAUAUGCUCUAGUGUCGGUUCUAGUGUCGGUUCACUGUGUUCCAAUGCGUGAACAGGCGUUUAUGAUGUGUAGUUAAUUUGUCAUCAUUAAAGACAGACGUGAGAGAAAUUCAAAAGAAUCACUGUUUGUUAUUUUUUUUUCCUGAAUGAGUGAGUUUGUACUUACCAGUAAUUGUUGGAUAUUGCUGUGCAUCUUUUGUGGAACUCCUACAGUAUAUGGGUGUUGUUUUUUUUAAAAAUAGGGUGUAUCUAUUCCACAGUAAGUAAGGGUUUGUUUUGAAACACGGCCGUUUGUGUAGAGAUGUAGAUGGUACAGAGACGGUGUGUUGAGGGGUUGAAGAACCCAGAGGAACAGAAUCAGGAUCCACCCCCCAUGCCAUACCUCAAAACCCCUGAUGACACACACACACACACACACACACACCAAUAUAAACCUCUGACACACACACACACACACACACACACAAUAUAAACCUCUGACACACACACACAUCACACAAAUCAAGCUGAUACGUUGAUCCAUCAUGCCUUUUUUUUUUCUUUUUUCAAACAGGUUUUUUUCUUUUAUAGUAUUAUAAAACACGUUUUUAAAAUUGAAAUUGUAAUCAAUGCGAAGAAGAAAAGUUAAACCGAUGUUGUUGAUGUGACGCUCCUUAUCCGUGUAGUGGCAGCUCUGGGGUUGCACAUGGUGCUGUUGUAAGUGUGUGUGUUCGGCUGAGGUGAGAUCUCAUCGACUCUGUUCAACCUGUGAUCUUUAACAACCGCAUCCUCCUUUUGUUGAGAAGACAUACCUCCCAGACAUGUGUAACCCUCUUCCUCUGUUAUUUGAGGGGAAAACAUACAGUCGUCCUCUUACCUUGACAUUCCUGAGUUUCUUUGAUUUUUUUUUUUAGUUCUUGCCCAAACGGUUGUGAACUUGUUUUGUUAUUUUAUUUUAAAGAAAAUGUUACAUAAAAACCUGGAGAGAAUUUUUUUACGGCCUUUCUGUCUUUCAUCUGUAGUUGUGUUAAAUAUUGUCUUGAACUGCAUUCAGACACAGCAGCCGUUUAGCUAAAUUCAACUGAUUUUACAUUCUUAAUAAAGCAUGAAUAAAACAAACAAAAACAGUCCAACCAAUAACUACACAAUUAUUUAUUGGGUUAAAAAUGUUUAAAAAAUGCAUUACACUCAUUUGACCAAAACUUUUAAUAGGAAACCACAACAAGUCCAACCCAUAGUCAUAUUCACAACUCCACAUGUUGAACCCACCCUGUAGGGAGCUCUUCAACGGGCUAGGGAGGCUCCUGCCUGGUCCUGGUCGUACAGCGGAGGGGGUGGAGGGGGGUGUUCUUGGCAGGUUUUGUCUGUCCCAUUCUGUGUCUCAUCCAUCCAUUGGUAGGACUGGCAGACGAGCAGAUUCUAUAGCCGUUAACUCGGACACCAGUGUUUCAGAGCUAAUAGGGGUGGGGGGAUGUUCUUGGUAGGUUCUGUCUGUCCCAUUCUGCGUCUCAUCCAUCCAUUGGUAGGACUGGCAGACGAACUGAUUCGAUUCGUUCCGGUUCCCACAGACCAACCAAUCCGGUGCUGAGUCAGGAAGUCCAAGACUGAAGGAAGGGAGCACUGGUCCUUUUCCAACAUCUCCAGUUCAUCCAUUGGCCAUGAGAGGGCUGUGGUCUUCACUGGAGCGAUUUGGAGAAGGGGCUUGACAGUGCAUCGUGUCAGGGUGGGUUAUCAAAUGUUAUGGGAUGGUAGGUGGUAUAGGGGAGACAUCGAGGAUGGUAGGUGGUAUAGGGGAGACAUCGAGGAUGGUAGGUGGUAUAGGGGAGACGUUGAGGAUGGUAUAGGGGAGACAUCGAGGAUGAUAGGUGGUAGAGGGGAGACGUUGAGGGUGGUAGGUGGUAUAGGGAGACGUUGAGGGUGGUAUAGGGGAGACGUGGAGGGUGGUAGGUGGGAGACGUCGAGGGUGGUAGGUGGUAUAGGGGAGACGUUGAGGGUGGUAGGUAGUAUAGGGAGACGUUUCAGGGUGGUAGGUAGGUGAGGGUUGGAGUAGUGUAAAUAAAACUGAAUAUUUUAAGAGAUAUUCAAUGGGUUAUGGAGUGGUGGCUCUGUGAGGUAUGAAGACAGAAAAAGAGAGGUUAUGUGUGUUUGAUGCCUGAGAGAGAGAACGGUACAUCUGGUAAGGAGUGGGGUGUGUUAAAAAAAAAAAAAUGGCCGAUUCAGAAGAGACUGAUGUUUCAGCAGUACUGGGACAUGGUCAGGAGAGGAAAUUAGAGAAGCCUGAGACCUAGAGAGAGGGAAGAGGAUAAGGAUGGCUAACUGGUAUGGACUGGUAGGUAGCAGUCUAAUAUGAGGACUGGUAGGUAGCAGUCUAAUGUGAGGACUGGUAGGUAGGUAGCAGUCUAAUGUGAGGACUGGUAGGUAGGUAGCAGUCUAAUGUGAGGACUGGUAGGUAGGUAGCUGUCUAAUGUGAGGACUGGUAGGUAGGUAGCAGUCUAAUGUGAGGACUGGACUGGUAGGUAGCUGGUUAAUGUGAGGACUGGACUGGUAGGUAGCUGUCUAAUGUGAGGACUGGACUGGUAGGUAGCUGUCUAAUGUGAGGACUGGACUGGUAGGUAGCUGUCUAAUGUGAGGACUGGACUGGUAGGUAGCUGUCUAAUGUCAGGACUGGACUGGUAGGUAGCUGUCUAAUGUGAGGACUGGAAGGUAGCAGUGUAAUGUGAGGACUGGAAGGUAGCAGUGUAAUGUGAGGACUGGUAGGUAGUAGUGUAAUGUGAGGACUGGAAGGUAGCAGUGUAAUGUGAGGACUGGAAGGUAGCAGUGUAAUGUGAGGACUGGUAGGUAG